rfam:Loxodonta africana unplaced genomic scaffold scaffold_121, whole genome shotgun sequence.
GAUGCUUUGCUAGAGCUGGUAAAAUGGAACCAAAUCAACUGUGCGAAGGAUUUGGUCCCCUUCAACCAGCUGUAGCUGUGCAUUGAU